rnacentral:rRNA from 1 species
UACGUAGGGUGCAAGCGUUAAUCGGAAUUACUGGGCGUAAAGCGUGCGCAGGCGGUUAUAUAAGACAGAUGUGAAAUCCCCGGGCUUAACCUGGGAACUGCACUUGUGACUGCAAGGCUGGAGUACGGCAGAGGGGGAUGGAAUUCCGCGUGUAGCAGUGAAAUGCGUAGAUAUGCGGAGGAACACCGAUGGCGAAGGCAAUCCCCUGGGCCUGUACUGACGCUCAUGCACGAAAGCGUGGGGAGCAAACAGG